AGUUACAAGGAGGGUUUCUAAGUAUUUGUUAUUGAUUAUAAUAACUGGAAGAUCAACGUCUUAGUGGGAAAAAGAUUUCAAGAGAU
rnacentral:tRNA from 1 species